UACGUAGGGUGCAAGCGUUGUCCGGAAUUAUUGGGCGUAAAGAGCUCGUAGGCGGUCUGUCGCGUCGGAUGUGAAAAUCCAGGGCUCAACCCUGGACCUGCAUUCGAUACGGGCAGACUAGAAUUCGGUAGGGGAGACUGGAAUUCCUGGUGUAGCGGUGAAAUGCGCAGAUAUCAGGAGGAACACCGGUGGCGAAAGCGCUCAACUGGCCCAAUACUGACGCUAAAGCGCGAAAGCUAGGGGGGCAAACGGG
rnacentral:rRNA from 1 species